CAGAAACUCCCAUUAGAUCAACUUCAUCAACAUGUUCUCUGUUGCUCUACUGCUGCUGCUGGCUGCUGUAUCCUGUGUGGAGUGUGAACAGCUGACACAGCCGGCCUCUAUGACUGUGCAGCCAGGUCAACAACUGACCAUCAGCUGUCAGGUCUCUUAUGAUUUGAGCAGCUACUACACAGCUUGGAUCAGACAGCCUGCUGGGAAAGGACUGGAGUGGAUUGGUAGAGAUACAGAAUUCAAAAAUUCAAUAAAAAACAAAUUUGGAGGUAGCUUAGACUCUUCCAGUAAAACAGUGACUCUGAAUGGACAGAAUAUGCAGCCUGAAGACUCUGCUGUGUAUUACUGUGCCAGAGAGUCGCAGUGA